rnacentral:rRNA from 1 species
UACGAAGGGGGCUAGCGUUGUUCGGAAUUACUGGGCGUAAAGGGCUCGUAGGCGGCCAACUAAGUCAGACGUGAAAUCCCUCGGCUUAACCGGGGAACUGCAUCUGAUACUGGAUGGCUUGAGUUCGGGAGAGGGAUGCGGAAUUCCAGGUGUAGCGGUGAAAUGCGUAGAGUAUCUGGAGGAACACCGGUGGCGAAGGCGGCAUCCUGGACCGACACUGACGCUGAGGAGCGAAAGCCAGGGGAGCAAAGCGGG